rnacentral:rRNA from 1 species
CCUACGGGGGGCAGCAGUGGGGAAUAUUGCGCAAUGGGCGAAAGCCUGACGCAGUGACGCCGCGUGAGGGAUGAAGGUCUUCGGAUCGUAAACCUCUGUCAGCAGGGAAGAACAGUCACUGUGCUAAUCAGCAGUGAAUUGACGGUACCUGCAAAGGAAGCACCGGCUAACUCCGUGCCAGCAGCCGCGGUAAUACGGAGGGUGCGAGCGUUAAUCGGAAUUACUGGGCGUAAAGCGCUCGUAGGCGGUAUGUCAAGUCAAGGGUGAAAUCCCCGGGCUCAACGUGGGAACUGCCUUUGAAACUGGCAAACUGGAGUGUGUGAGAGGUAAGUGGAAUUCGAGGUGUAGGGGUGAAAUGCGUAGAUAUCUGGAGGAACAUCAGUGGCGAAGGCGACUAUCUGGCACAUAACUGACGCUGAGGAGCGAAAGCGUGGGGAGCAAACAGGAUUAGAUACCCGAGUAGUC